CAAUGUGAUAUCCUACAUGAAUAGUGAAUACCGACUGAAGUUGCCAUCUGGCAUAGAGGAUACAUAUCUUCAGAGGUUCCUCAUUGUGAGAACCAUCAUAUAGUACGCCAGAGAAGCAGCACAGCCAGGCCACAGCCAACACUGCCUAGAGCUGAUGAUGGUGGGAAUGCAGGUUCUUCGUCUGUUCCGCCUCCACUAAGGCACCCAUCACAGGGCAGCGUUACUGUGGCUACAAGGCCACCCAAGAGGGCCCGUGUUCAUGCUCCAGCUCCUGCACCAGCAUCACCACCCAAAAGGCGCAUCUCAGCAGUGUCUGCCGUGCCACCACUCGCUCUUUUGGCCAGCCCCCAAAGUGAGGAUCCACAAUCCCCACAGUUGUCUGCCAUCAUGAGCGACGAUGUCCAGCAGGACCGUGCCCAGGAGACCUUUACACUCCACCUGCAGCCCAUCGAUCCAACACAGGCAAACAUGCCUCAGGACAUACCCCAACCACCUCAAACAUCCCAAAGCCCCCAAAUGAGCACAACACCAGGACCAACACAAAUGGACCAAGAGUUUUGGUCAGGCUGGGCCUCACAACAGGCACAACACUACGCGUGCCUCACCACCCAAACACAAUACCUGUCAAGUCUGCCCCAUCAUUUGCCAAGAGUGAGUCGCAACUCAGGCAGACUCAUAGUGCAGGUGGGCUGAAUUGCAAACACUAUGGAGCAGAUGAGGGCAGACAACACCCAAAUGCAGGCUAACCUUCAGCGCAUCUUGGAUGAUCAACAGCGGCAGCAGCAAACUUUAAUCCAGAUGAUCCAGCAUAACCAAUUAAUCAAUGACAAUCUGUCGCGAAUGACUGGAAACAACACUGCCGCUUAUACACAGCUAACGGCAAGUUUGAAUAUUUUAAGCCAAAAUCUAAGUGUGUUGGGCCCACACCAUGUGACCUCCAGCUCAGGAACAACAACCCCAAGCCAAACCCCAGUUCAAUCCCCAGUUCGACGUUCAAGUCGAAGCCGCACCCACGAGCCACCACAAUCCUCUGCACCCAGCACCCAAAAACGUAAAAAUAAUAUUGACUGGCCAGAAUAUGGUGUCCAUUUAAUUAUUUAAAUUCUCUG